CAGAGAGCAAAUUAGAAUCCAAGGAAGUUGACAUGUCAUCACUUCAUUUUUUUGCGCCUGCGCAUAAAUCUGAGAAACGUGAGUUUGUCAUAAUUUUUUAUCUAGACAUAGGAUAGGUUGUGUGAAAAUAUUACUGAUGUUUAACGUUAAAAAUGGACCAAAAGAUUAAUGCUAAACAACAUUUGACAUGUUUGAACGAACAUAAAUAGAUUAUUUACUAGGUUUUUUUUGCUUUUCGGCGUGAUUUUACCAGCACCCCACCACGUUUUGUGGGAGCAUAAUGAACGCUAAGUACUUGGUGUUAUUUGGACAUAAAUUAUGAACUUUGUCAAAAGAAACCACAUUUGUUCCGGACCUGGAAUGCCUUCCGGACCUGGGAUCCUGCCUUCUGAUGGAGAUAAUCAAAGACCAACGGCCAGACCGCACGGGCCAACCAGGACUUGGAAACUGCCCUACGCUGUGUUACUUCGGCUAACCCUUCCUCCUGGAGUGCUCAGCAACCCUGGGUGGAAUAUGCCCACAACAUCCUCAUCAACGGCUCAUCAGGAUAAUGACCCAACACAACUCCAGGCUGUAAGGGCUAUUUGACUAAGAAGGAGAGAGAUGGAGUGCUUCAUCAGAUGACC
rnacentral:lncRNA from 1 species